UACCUUUAAAUGAAAGCGAGAAACUUUUUCACCAAUCAAUAACAACAUUAAGCAUGACUCUAGUCACUCAUGCUCCACCUGAAUGUAAAGGAAAGUAUAAAAGGUGAACUAAGGAUGAAGAACUUUGGGGRGAAGACUCCAUCAUAACUCUUGGGUCGGUCGAUGCGCUGAUUCCCCUUCCCUCCCCUCGGACUGGAAUAUUGCCUGGGAAGACUAACAACUGAGAGGGAAGAAUCCAUCAUUGCUCUYGGGUCAGUCUACGGGCUGAUCCCUCUUCCCCCACUGUGAGCUGAGAUGCCGCCUGAGGAGAUUCGAGACUGAGAGCCCUCUCCCAUCUUCURGGAGGCUGAAGAAAGAAAGCAAAUUUUGGAAAGGAGGAGGGCGCCCUCCCCCGUUUCUCCUCAUUACAUGCAAGACAGGGCCAAUGAAUUUCUGAUGAAUUACAGUGUCAAAAAAUCUGAAAAAAAUAUUGAGACCAGAUUCAAGUAGUUUUACUGCAACAGCCAAACUGUUGACCCAGAUUCAGGCACAAACAAUUCUCAGAGUGCAUAUCUUUAAAGAGAAUAUGAAAAAAAACAUAAUUCGUCUGUCCACUUUUUUCCUUCAUCUAAAUAACCUUCCUCCCACAAGAACACACAUACAAGUAUGCACCAGCUUUCUCACAGUAUCUAAUCAAAGAAAGGCUGAGACAGUUGGAUUUCUCAGCAUGGAGAAAACUGAGCAAAGAUCUUAUAGCUGGAUUGCUCAACAUGGAGAAAAUGGAGCAAAGAUCUUAUCAGUGYGUACAAAUACCUGAUGCAGAAGUGCCUAGUGAUAGGAAGAGAGGAAACCGUCACAAGCAGAAACAAAGAAAAUUCCGCCUGAAAAUAUGGGCUUUGCAUUAUCAGAGGGGCUGUAGACUCGCCUUCUUUGGAGAUACUCAAAAGCCAUCUGGAGACACUCCCCAUCAACCUGCUCUUGGUGACCCUCGUUGAGCAGAGGAUUUGGAC